UACAGAGGUCUCAAGCGUUGUUCGGAUUCAUUGGGCGUAAAGGGUGCGUAGGCGGCGCGGUAAGUCGGGUGUGAAAUCUUGGAGCUUAACUCCGAAACUGCAUUCGAUACUGCCGUGCUUGAGGACUGGAGAGGAGACUGGAAUUUACGGUGUAGCGGUGAAAUGCGUAGAUAUCGUAAGGAAGACCAGUGGCGAAGGCGGGUCUCUGGACAGUUCCUGACGCUGAGGCACGAAGGUCAGGGGAGCAAACGGGAUUAGAACU
rnacentral:rRNA from 1 species